rnacentral:rRNA from 1 species
UACGGAGGGGGCUAGCGUUGUUCGGAAUUACUGGGCGUAAAGCGUGUGUAGGCGGUUUGGCAAGUCGGAUGUGAAAGCCCCGGGCUCAACUCGGGAAGUGCACUCGAUACUGCUAAACUUGAGUGUCGGGAGAGGUUGGUGGAAGUUCUACGGUGUAGAGGUGAAAUUCGUAGAUAUUCGCAAGAACGACCAGUGGCGAAGGCGGCUCACUGGCCCGGUACUGACGCUGAGGUGGCGAAAGCGUGGGGAGCAAACAGG